AAGAACCUUCCAGCAGAUCAGCCUGUGGUAAAAAUAGAGCAGCUCUGAAAUCCAUUCACACCAACAUGGGAUGUGUGACACUGGAGACAAGUCAGCAGUAGCAGCUGGAGUGAUGUGGCGCGAACAAUAACACCAGGACAACUGCGUGCAAAGGCGGGACCAAUAGAGAGAGGAGGAGUGGUCUCAUUUAUAGCUCAUGCACUGUAGCUGACCAGUGAACCAUGCCUUAAUAUAGUUACGUAACAGACUGGGGUCAAACCGCUAGCUGGCAUGGUUCCUAGAACUGCCAGUCACCCUACAGUCUGAGCAUGUCAGCCAUAGAAAUAUAAAACCUCCAGUAACUCUUUAGAAAUCCCAAAAGGGCAGCCCUCUUGACUAAAGCUCUAAUAGAGCCCAAAGAACUAAAAUAUGCAGCUUCAUUAGAGGAUGCUUACAUAUUUACAGAUUAUUAGUUUUGAUCUACAAAGCUGCCUACAGAUUAAUUUCUUGUCAUUAUUGCAUCUUUGGAGGAAAGUCAAGCAAAGAUGGAAUCAGGGGGAUCCUCCACACACUGACCAACCAUUCUCACGCGGGGUCGUUGCAGUGGGAUUUUCCGGGUCUGGCUGCUUGUCCCAUGGUGACAUUCUCCGUGACAACGAUCGGGAACAUGAGAGCAGACGUGAUCUCAGCAGUGUAGAACCGAGCUCUGGGCUCAUCAAACUUCCUGGACUUCUGGAUAUGAAACAUGAGAUCCCCGCCAUUGACAAACUCCAUCACAAAGAAGAGACGGUCCUGUCAGAGUUUGGAGAUGACACACAUGUGUAUGUAUAAGAUCACUGAAGCCGCACAGAUAAUCUCAUGCAUGGUAAUAAAGAAUCAGUAAGGCUGCUAUAAGGACAGUUCAUGGCUGCUUCCCAUACAUUUCUGAUGUCUAAUGAGUUUCUGUGCAAUCAACCGCAGCUUGCAGUCAGGAAACAUUGGAAAUCUAAAUCCAACCCAUAAAUCUUUCUGCUCUUGUUACAUGCUGCUGUCAAUAAGUGAUCUAGAAAAUAGUAAAUGAGGGAAAAAUCUGUCAGAGGAUGGAAUUUACAGAUGUGCUUGUGUGAAGUGAUGAGAACAUUCAAACAUUGUUACAGUCCAUAACUCAAAAGUGAUCUUUUUUACGGCAACCUAUCAUUAUUAUGUGGUACAGUGCUGCCACCUGCUGACCAACUGCCCAAAUUACAAUAAAAAACAGAAAAAGUUCAAGCAUAAAUCACGUGGAAGUUGUAAAGCAGAUAAAAUGCAAAAUAAAUAAAUUAAAAACCAAAAAAAACAAAAAAACAAAGC